UUAUUUCGUCACAGUCCCUAAACCUGCUUCACUCCUCUCUGUGACCUGCCCGCCCCUGAGUUUGCAAUCCUGAUCAGGUCUAAAUCUCCCAGGUCCCAGAUGAAUGAACUGAAGCCCAGAGUCGGGAGUACUUUGCCCAAAGUCACUCAGGGUUGUUGGUCUUCAUCUCAUCCAUGAUGGGUCAGGCAUGGAGGCAGGGGUGGGGGCAGGCAGGACUUCCUCCCAUCACCAAAUCCUUUUCACCUGCAGCAAAUUCUCACCCCAUUUUCUUUUCCUGGGUUUUUCCACCAAGUCAAGCCGGCUCCCCCUUUCAACGUGACUGUGACCUUCUCAGGACAGUAUAAUAUCUCCUGGCGCUCAGAUUACGAAGACCCUGCCUUCUACAUGCUGAAGGGCAAGCUUCAGUAUGAGCUGCAGUACAGGAACCGGGGAGACCCCUGGGCUGUGAGUCCGAGGAGAAAGCUGAUCUCAGUGGACUCAAGAAGUGUCUCCCUCCUCCCCCUGGAGUUCCGCAAAGACUCGAGCUAUGAGCUGCAGGUGCGGGCAGCGCCCAUGCCUGGCUCCUCCUACCAGGGGACCUGGAGUGAAUGGAGUGA
rnacentral:sRNA from 1 species